CCUGCUUCUUCAGCUCCAUUGCUCUGGGGGAUCUGGAGGCUGUGAGGGAGCAGCUGAAGGAGAUUCACCAAAGGGGCCUGGAACUCACACAUCCCUUUCUCCGAGAGGGAACCAUGGGGAAGACCUGCCUGAUGAAGGCGCUGCUGAGGUCUCAGGACAAGAGUGAGCAGCAGGUCCUGGCCAUGGUAAGGACUCUGCUUCAGCACGCUGAGGAGCACGGGGAGCUAGCCACUCUGCUGAACGCUUCCUACACAGACAAGGUCUACCGGGGACAGACAGCCUUGCACAUUGCUGUAGAGAGGGGCCUGCAGGGUGUUGUC